rnacentral:lncRNA from 1 species
UCUCUAGGAAAGGAGUCUUGAAAAUCUCCCUAUUGAUGUUUACAUACUGGGCAUUUGUAGUGUAGACAGCAAGACCAUCUUUUUGUGAUGGUUCACAACAAUGAUAAUCACUAAAGCACUUCAUUUGCAUCUCAUUGAGCACAUUCAAGGGCACCUAACCACAGCAAACCUCAAUCUCUUCCCCCAGGACCCUCCCUACAUGUGCAAUCAAACUCUUUAGCAAACCAAAUUUCAACUCAUUGUAGAACUUGCCCAUGGCUUUGCUUGUAAGCUGCAC